UACGUAGGCAGCAAGCGUUGUUCGGAGUUACUGGGCGUAAAGGGUGUGUAGGCGGUUUUUUAAGUUUGGUGUGAAAUCUCCCGGCUCAACCGGGAGGGUGCGCCGAAUACUGAGAAGCUAGAGUGCGGGAGAGGAAAGUGGAAUUCCUGGUGUAGCGGUGAAAUGCGUAGAUAUCAGGAGGAACACCGGUGGUGUAGACGGCUUUCUGGACCGUGACUGACGCUGAAACACGAAAGCGUGGGUAGCAAACAGG
rnacentral:rRNA from 1 species